AGAAGACUUAUAUGACCAUAAGAUGGCAAAGAAGUAGAAGGAAAAUUGAACAAAUUCCUGCAGUCACCAGCUUUGUUUAA
rnacentral:lncRNA from 1 species